AACGAACGCUGGCGGCAUGCCUAACACAUGCAAGUCGAACGAAACCUUCGGGUCUAUUGUCGCACGGGUUCGUAACGCGAGGGAACCUGCCCUUAGGUUCGGACUAACUCCCCGACAGGGGUGCUAUUACCGGAUAAUGUCUUCGGACCAAGGAUUUAUCGACCUUGGUUGGUCCCGAGUGGCAUUAGCUAGUUGUUAUGGUUAAAGCCUACCAAGGCGCGGAUCCAUAGCUUGUUUGAGAGGAAGGUCAGCGACACCGGGAGUGAGACACGGCCCAGAAUCCUACGGGAGGCAGCAGUGGGGAAUAUUGGACAGUGGGCGAAAGCCUGAUCCGGCAAUGCCGCGUGAAUGAUGAAGGCCUUAGGGAUGUAAAGCGCUAUUAACCGGGAUGAUAAUGACAGUACCGGGAGAAUAAGCUCCGGCUAACUCCGUG
rnacentral:rRNA from 1 species